rnacentral:rRNA from 1 species
AAUGAACGCUGGCGGCGUGCAUAACACAUGCAAGUCGAACGAGAAACCCCGGGCUUGCUCGGGGGAGUAAAGUGGCGCACGGGUGAGUAACGCGUGGGUAACCUACCUCUGAAUCUGGAAUAACUUCGCGAAAGCGUUGCUAAUACCGGAUAUUGUCCUUUGAACUGCGGUUCUUGGGAUGAAAGGUGACCUCUUCUUGAAAGUUGCCGUUCGGGGAUGGGCCCGCGUACCAUUAGCUAGUUGGUAGGGUAAUAGCCUACCAAGGCGAGGAUGGUUAGCUGGUCUGGGAGGAUGACCAGCCACACUGGAACUGAAACACGGGGCAGACUCCUACGGGAGGCAGCAGUGAGGAAUCUUGCGCAAUGGGGGAAACCCUGACGCAGCAACGCCGCGUGAGCGAAGAAGGCCUUCGGGUCGUAAAGCUCUGUCUAGUGGGAAAAAAGUCCUGGUGUAAAUAGCUCCAGGAUCUGAUGGUACCGCUGGAGGAAGCACCGGCUAACUCCGUGCCAGCAGCCGCAGUAACAC